rnacentral:rRNA from 1 species
AUAAAUUUGCUGAGGUAGUGACAAAAAUUACCGAUAUCGGACUUCGGUUCGACAAUUGGAAUGGGGUGGGUGCAAAUAGCCCGCCGAGCAACCAUUAGAGGGCAAGUCUGGUGCCAGCAGCCGCGGUAAUUCCAGCUCUAAUAGUGUAUACUAACGUUGCUGAUGUUAAAAAGCUCGUAGUUGGAUUGUAGAUGGAGCUAUUCGUCCUUGUGAUUUUUGUCGGCUCGGGUUUGCUGGUUAGUUGCCUGCUUUUCUGCCGUGGGUUGUUUCAAGAUCCCGGUGGGGGAGGGGUGCUGGUUGGCGCCGGGUUGGCCGCAGGGAUUGCUUCGUCAAUUUUAUUUUUUUCGAAUUGUCACGGUCUUCUUCACUGAGGUACGGUGACGGUCCGGAAGGUUUACUUUGAAGAAAAUGGAGUGUUCAAAG